rnacentral:rRNA from 1 species
AUGAACGCUGGCGGCGUGCCUAAUCCAUGCAAGUCGAGCGAACGGACGAGAAGCUUGCUUCUCUGAUGUUAGCGGCGGACGGGUGAGUAACACGUGGAUAACCUACCUAUAAGACUGGGAUAACUUCGGGAAACCGGAGCUAAUACCGGAUAAUAUUUUGAACCGCAUGGUUCAAAAGUGAAAGACGGUCUUGCUGUCACUUAUAGAUGGAUCCGCGCUGCAUUAGCUAGUUGGUAAGGUAACGGCUUACCAAGGCAACGAUGCAUAGCCGACCUGAGAGGGUGAUCGGCCACACUGGAACUGAGACACGGUCCAGACUCCUACGGGAGGCAGCAGUAGGGAAUCUUCCGCAAUGGGCGAAAGCCUGACGGAGCAACGCCGCGUGAGUGAUGAGGGUCUUCGGAUCGUAAAACUCUGUUAUUAGGGAAGAACAUAUGUGUAAGUAACUGUGCACAUCUUGACGGUACCUAAUCAGAAAGCCACGGCUAACUACGUG